GAUAAACGCUGGCGGCGUGCUUAACACAUGCAAGUCGAACGAAGUUUUUCCUUCGGGAGAAACUUAGUGGCGGACGGGUGAGUAACGCGUGGGUAACCUGCCCCGUACAGGGGGACAACAGCUGGAAACGGCUGCUAAUACCGCAUAAGCCCUUAGCACUGCAUGGUGCAUAGGGAAAAGGAGCAAUCCGGUACAGGAUGGACCCGCGUCUGAUUAGCCAGUUGGCAGGGUAACGGCCUACCAAAGCGACGAUCAGUAGCCGAUCUGAGAGGAUGUACGGCCACAUUGGGACUGAGACACGGCCCAGACUCCUACGGGAGGCAGCAGUGGGGAAUAUUGCACAAUGGAGGAAACUCUGAUGCAGCGACGCCGCGUGAGUGAAGAAGUAUUUCGGUAUGUAAAGCUCUAUCAGCAGGGAAGAAAAUGACGGUACCUGACUAAGAAGCACCGGCUAAAUACGUG
rnacentral:rRNA from 1 species